rnacentral:rRNA from 1 species
AUGGAGGCUAAGAAACUGUCGUUGAAUGACUCCCCAGAUAGAAUCUUGUGGGAUUUUGAUAGUAAAGGGAAGUUUACUACUAAAUCCUUAUAUGUAUGGUUGGAAAGAAAUCUUUCAGGUCCUAACUAUAGGAUGGUAUGGAAAGCACCUAUUCCGCUGAAAAUUAAGAUUUUCCUUUGGCAGCUGUUUCAGAACGCAGUUCUCACUCGUGAUAAUAUGCGCAUUAGAAACUGGCCUGGAAAUCCUGCGUGCUCCUUCUGUAAUGAAGUCGAGACUGUUGGGGAACGUAGCAGAAAUUCAAAAUUUUCCUACGUGUCACCAAGAUCUAUCUAUGGAGAGACCAGCAACGAGUAG